ACAAGAUUUCACCCCUACCCCUGAAGUACCUCUCACCUCUCCCGGCCUCGAGCCAGACAGUAUCUCCUGAAAGCCCGACAGUUAAGCUGCCAGAUUUCUCAAGAGACUUAUCCGGCCGGCUACAGACCCUUUAGACCCAAUAAUAACGGUUACCACUCGAGCCGCCGGUGUUACCGCGGCGGCUGGCACCGGUCUUGCCCGGCCCUUGCUAUGAAAUGCUUUUUAGGCAUCUCGACAGCCAGAUUUGUAACCUGGCACUCGAGGUUCCCUUAUCGCUGUUGCCAGCAUUGUAAAGUUUUCGCGCCUGCUGCACCCCGUAGGGCCUGGAUUCGUGUCUCAGAAUCCAUCUCCGGGCUCUUGCUCUCACAACCCGUACCCGUCGUAGGCUAGUAGGUACGCUACACCCACUACUACCUGAUAGGCCGCAGACCCAUCCUUAGGCGCCGGAGCUUUAAAUCUCGAUGCAUUCCAGCAAUCGAGACCUAUCGGGUAUUAUACCCAGUUUCCCGGGUUUAUCCCCGUCCUAAGGCAGGUUGUCCACGUGUUACUGAGCAGUUCGCCAUGUAUUGCUACAUUCGACUC
rnacentral:rRNA from 1 species